GGGGCUAUAGCUCAGUUGGUAGAGCGCUUCCAUGGCAUGGAAGAGGUCAGGGGUUCGAUUCCCCUUAGCUCCACCG
rnacentral:tRNA from 1 species